rnacentral:sRNA from 1 species
CGAGCGUCAGCGAGAAAGCGUUGCCGCAGGCAACGACCCGAAGGGCGAAGCGCGCAGCGCUGAGUCAUCCUUCCCCCAUCACCA